rnacentral:tRNA from 1 species
GGUUGUGCCCUAGUGGUAGAGUGCUUGCCUCAUAUGUGGGAGGCCCUGGGUUUGAUUCUCAGCACCG